rnacentral:sRNA from 1 species
GGUAGUAGAGGGGACGAACCAAUUCAAACUCUCAACAUGAACCAACCUUAUACCCGGAUCGGUGUGGCCGAGUUUAAUCGCGAAUCAAAAUGGCAUGAGCCACGGUUUCAGAUCGCAGAUCGUGGCCCAAGCAUGCAAAUGCUGCAGCAAAGCGACUAGUGAGUUUAUGUUUUGAGUGUGUUUUUAUUAUGAUAAGAAAGGCCCCUGUCAUUGCUGGCUUCCAGAGACUGCUGUUAAAAAGACUCAAUCUCUCAAGAAGAUUGAGGCUUUGAAUGAGGAAUUAGAGCCCCUUCUAAAAGAGAAACGGGAAU